rnacentral:rRNA from 1 species
CACGUAGUUAGCCGGCGCUUCUUCUGCAGGUACCGUCACUCUCGCUUCUUCCCUACUGAAAGAGGUUUACAACCCGAAGGCCGUCAUCCCUCACGCGGCGUCGCUGCAUCAGGCUUUCGCCCAUUGUGCAAUAUUCCCCACUGCUGCCUCCCGUAGGAGUCUGGGCCGUGUCUCAGUCCCAGUGUGGCCGGUCGCCCUCUCAGGCCGGCUACCCGUCAUCGUCUUGGUGAGCCAUUACCUCACCAACAAACUGAUAGGCCGCGAGUCCAUCCCCCACCGAAAAACUUUCCAACAACCACCAUGCGGCGGAAGUUCAUAUCCGGUAUUAGCCACGAUUUCUCGAAGUUAUCCCGAAGUGGGGGCAGGUUACUCACGUGUUACUCACCCGUUCGCCACUAAUCAGACCGAGCAAGCUCGGUCGUCAUCGUUCGACUUGCAUGUGUUAAGCACGCCGCCAGCGUGUCCUGAGCCAGGAUCAAACUCU